GGGAAACUGCCAGUUACACUUACCAGCCAUUCCUCAGGUCGGGGAGAAGCAUGGCGGCGGCGUUUCCCUCCUGCUUUACAUGUGGGUGCCGAGUGACUGUGCUGGGGAUUCUUGUGCUCAUACCCAAAUUCUCCCUCUUUCUGUCAGUCUCUGGAAGGACUCGAUGCUGAACCAGUGGCAAAGGGAAGAAAAUCAACGCGAUCCUUGACGCCUCCGUGGGCUGUUGAACUUCCUUGAGCCUUAGAAAAUGGUCAGGAACGAAAGUACGGUAUUUUCUUGAUCUUUCUUUGCUGUUGUCGUUUUUUGUUUGUUUUUGAGACGGAGUGGAGUGCAAUGGCACAAUCUCGGCUCACUGCAACUCUGACUCCCUGGUUCAAGUGAUUCUCCUGCCUCGGCCUCCCAAGAAGCUGGGAUUACAGACAUGCGCCACCACGCCCAGCUAAUUUUUGUGUUUUUAGUAGCGACAGGGUUUCACCACGUUGGCCAGGAGGUCUCGAUCUCCUGACUUUGUGAUUCACCUGCCUCAGUCUCCCGAAGUGCUGUGAUUACAGGUGUGAGCCACCACGCCUGGCCUGGUAUUUUCUUCUUUAUGCAUUUUUAAACUCCAGGUCUCCCAACGCCCGGCUCAAAUCCUGCCUCUGCUAUAAAGACAGUCCUAAUGACCCCAGCUGAGAAUGGUUUUCCUUCCUCUCAACUCCAACUGCAGCUUCCUGGUCUUACCUUCCUGAUCUUCCUCUUCACUGCCUCAUCAUGUCGGUUAACUUCCCAAGUGGGCUGCAGCAGCUACUGAUUUUAAAGUUAAGUAUGCCUUGAGAGAGAGAAGCUCCUGUUUUCUCCUGGGUCGGGAGCUAGAAGGAAAUCGUGAGCCUGGAACUUCUCAAAGUCAUCUUCCCUGGACCCCUGAAGGCAGCCAGCCUUGGGAGAUGGAGAAUCCUAAUGACUACUUGGAAUCCCCUAGAUCCAGGGUUCCACGUUGGGGCUGACUGGGGGAGAAAUAUGCAUGAGACAUGGAAGGCGGAAGUGAAGCAGCAGCCCUCACACUCUGCAGGUUGGUGUGGGAUCCUGUGUGUUGCCACUGACCUGCUGAUUCACCUGGUGGCUUGAGGCAGCCAGGCCUGCAGUUCCUCAGCAGCUGCCCCAUCUCCCUCUUCAGCAUCUUCAAAUCGGCCCAGGUACAACUGCUGCUCAAUGACAAGGGAUGCCAUCUCCUGCUUUGGGUUAUCCCAUCACUGAGGGAGGCUGCAAGAGGCAGACAUGGCUGGCCACCCUGAAUCUGGGGAAGUCACUCAGAACCCUUGCUAUAGUCAAUGGCAGCAGAGCAAAAGUGAGCGAAGACCCUUGGAGAGCUGGCAAUGAGCUUACCAGCUGGGUCAAUAGGAACGAUUGUAUCGGGAAUUCAAGGGAAAAGAUGAGUGUGAAAUAAAACUCCCUUUUAAAGACACAUCAAAGAAAACAAGUAUGUCUCAAAAUGAAAUGGCAGACAUGUGUUUUCGAUGUAUUUCUCAUUAGAUUCUUAAUAAUAGGAUGUAAAUCAUCAAGUGGAGUCAGACGGACCAAUCCCGGGGCCCUGGUUCCCAGCAAUGAUGGCUGUUUCUGAUUAGCUUGGAGCCUACUCGCUCAGGAACAAUGAAUGCUUCUUGGGGUCUGUGAGGGACAGGAAAUUAAGCCAUCAGGCUUCUUGCCUAUUAUUUCCACACUCUCUUCAAGUUGGAGAUCCAUCAACUUUGAAAGAAAGACGUAUAAACUGGGCGAAGUGGGAGGAAGUUGGGUAUGCAGUUUUAUUCCACACCCCCUUCAGGAGUGUGUCCGCAGCACUGGUUAUUCACUCCAGAAUUAGAACAUCUGUCUUACACCAGAUGUUUUAUAGAUGGGUACCAAAGUGGGUGUUAGAAAGUUUGUAUCAAGACACCAAAGU